CGUGGGUAACCUGCCCAAGAGAUCGGGAUAACACCUGGAAACAGAUGCUAAUACCGGAUAACAACGGAUGAUGCCUAUCAACUGUUUAAAAGAUGGUUCUGCUAUCACUCUUGGAUGGACCUGCGGUGCAUUAGCUAGUUGGUAGGGUAACGGCCUACCAAGGCGAUGAUGCAUAGCCGAGUUGAGAGACUGAUCGGCCACAUUGGGACUGAGACACGGCCCAAACUCCUACGGGAGGCAGCAGCC
rnacentral:rRNA from 1 species